rnacentral:rRNA from 1 species
CUUUUGGAUAUCUUAGUGGCGGACGGGCGAGUAACGCGUGAGCAACCUGGCCUUCAGUGUGGAACAACGUCUGGAAACGGGCGCUAAUACCGCAUGACGCAGUGGAAUCGCAUGGUUCUGCUGUCAAAGGAGCAAUCCGCUGAAAGAUGGGCUCGCGUCUGAUUAGAUAGUUGGUGGGGUAACGGCCUACCAAGUCUACGAUCAGUAGCCGGACUGAGAGGUUGAACGGCCACAUUGGGACUGAGAUACGGCCCAGACUCC